rnacentral:pre_miRNA from 1 species
UUAGUACUCCCUCCGUCCCAAAAUUCUUGUCUUAGAUUUAUCUAGAUAUGAAUGUAUGUAGUCACAUUUUAGUAUUUAGAUACAUCCAUUUCUAGAAAAAUUUAAGACAAGAAUUUUGGGACGAAGGGAGUACUAA